GAGUUUGAUCUUGGCUCAGGAUGAACGCUGGCGGCGUGCCUAAUACAUGCAAGUCGAACGAACAGAUAAGGAGCUUGCUCCUUUGACGUUAGCGGCGGACGGGUGAGUAACACGUGGGUAACCUACCUAUAAGACUGGAAUAACUCCGGGAAACCGGGGCUAAUGCCGGAUAACAUGUUGAACCGCAUGGUUCUACAGUGAAAGACGGUCUUGCUGUCACUUAUAGAUGGACCCGCGCCGUAUUAGCUAGUUGGUGGGGUAACGGCCUACCAAGGCGACGAUACGUAGCCGACCUGAGAGGGUGAUCGGCCACACUGGAACUGAGACACGGUCCAGACUCCUACGGGAGGCAGCAGUAGGGAAUCUUCCGCAAUGGGCGAAAGCCUGACGGAGCAACGCCGCGUGAGUGAUGAAGGUCUUCGGAUCGUAAAGCUCUGUUGUUAGGGAAGAACAAAUGUGUAAGUAACUGUGCAUAUCUUGACGGUACCUAACCAGAAAGCCACGGCUAACUACGUGCCAGCAGCCGCCG
rnacentral:rRNA from 1 species